rnacentral:rRNA from 1 species
GAUGAACGCUGGCGGCGUGCCUAAUACAUGCCAGUCGAGCGAACGGACGAGAAGCUUGCUUUUCUGAUGUUAGCGGCGGACGGGUGAGUAACACGUGGAUAACCUACCUAUAAGACUGGGAUAACUUCGGGAAACCGGAGCUAAUACCGGAUAAUAUUUUGAACCGCAUGGUUCAAAAGUGAAAGACGGUCUUGCUGUCACUUAUAGAUGGAUCCGCGCUGCAUUAGCUAGUUGGUAAGGUAACGGCUUACCAAGGCAACGAUGCAUAGCCGACCUGAGAGGGUGAUCGGCCACACGGGAACUGAGACACGGUCCAGACUCCGACGGGAGGCAGCAGUAGGGAAUCUUCCGCGAUGGGCGAAAGCCUGACGGAGCAACGCCGCGUGAGUGAUGAAGGUCUUCGGAUCGUAAAACGCUGUUAUUAGGGAAGAACAUAUGUGUAAGUAACUGUGCACAUCUUGACGGUACCGAAUCAGAAAGCCACGGCUAACUCCGUG